GACGUAGGGGGCCAGCAUUGUUCGGAAUUACUGGGUGUAAAGGGUUCGUAGGCGGUUCGAUAAGUCGGACGUGAAAUCUCCACGCUCAACGUGGAGGGGCCGUUCGAUACUGUCGUGACUCGAGUCCGGUAGGGGAGUGUGGAAUUCCCGGUGUAGCGGUGAAAUGCGUAGAGCUCGGGAAGAACAUCGGUGGCGAAAGCGCUCUACUGGACUGCAACUGACACUCAGGGACGAAAGCUAGGGGAGCGAAUGGG
rnacentral:rRNA from 1 species